GCCGGGAUAGCUCAGUUGGUAGAGCAGAGGACUGAAAAUCCUCGUGUCGGCGGUUCGAUUCCGCCUCCUGGCA
rnacentral:tRNA from 2 species